rnacentral:rRNA from 1 species
AGUGGGGAAUCUUGGACAAUGGGCGCAAGCCUGAUCCAGCCAUGCCGCGUGAGUGAUGAAGGCCCUAGGGUCGUAAAGCUCUUUCGCCAGGGAUGAUAAUGACAGUACCUGGUAAAGAAACCCCGGCUAACUCCGUGCCAGCAGCCGCGGUAAUACGGAGGGGGUUAGCGUUGUUCGGAAUUACUGGGCGUAAAGCGUACGUAGGCGGACUAUUAAGUCGAGGGUGAAAUCCCGGGGCUCAACCCCGGAACUGCCUUCGAUACUGGUAGUCUUGAGGUCGAGAGAGGUGAGUGGAAUUCCGAGUGUAGAGGUGAAAUUCGUAGAUAUUCGGAGGAACACCAGUGGCGAAGGCGGCUCACUGGCUCGAUACUGACGCUGAGGUACGAAAGUGUGGGGAGCAAA